rnacentral:rRNA from 1 species
AAUAGAUACCCUGGUAGUCCACGCCGUAAACGAUGAGUGCUAAGUGUUAGAGGGUUUCCGCCCUUUAGUGCUGCAGCAAACGCAUUAAGCACUCCGCCUGGGGAGUACGGCCGCAAGGCUGAAACUCAAAGGAAUUGACGGGGGCCCGCACAAGCGGUGGAGCAUGUGGUUUAAUUCGAAGCAACGCGAAGAACCUUACCAGGUCUUGACAUCCUCUGCCACUCCUAGAGAUAGGACGUUCCCCUUCGGGGGACAGAGUGACAGGUGGUGCAUGGUUGUCGUCAGCUCGUGUCGUGAGAUGUUGGGUUAAGUCCCGCAACGAGCGCAACCCUUGAUCUUAGUUGCCAGCAUUCAGUUGGGCACUCUAAGGUGACUGCCGGUGACAAACCGGAGGAAGGUGGGGAUGACGUCAAAUCAUCAUGCCCCUUAUGACCUGGGCUACACACGUGCUACAAUGGAUGGUACAAAGGGUCGCAAAACCGCGAGGUCGAGCCAAUCCCACAAAACCCAUUCUCAGUUCGGAUUGCAGG